rnacentral:rRNA from 1 species
GCAAGUCGAACGGCAGCGGGGGCUUCGGCCUGCCGGCGAGUGGCGAACGGGUGAGUAAUACAUCGGAACGUGUCCUUGAGUGGGGAAUAACGCAUCGAAAGAUGUGCUAAUACCGCAUAUUUYUCAGGAAGAAGGCAGGGGAUSGAAAGACCUUGCGCUAAAGGAGCGGCCGAUGUSUGAUUAGYUAGUUGGUGAGGUAAAGGCUUMCCAAGGCAACGAUCARUAGCAGGUMUGAGAGGACGAUCAGCCACMCKGGGACUGAGACACGGCCCAGACUCMUACGGGAGGCAGC